UGAAUUGUGAGACGAAGUUUCGCAGCAUUUCCAGUUCGUGGCUCGUUAAGAGAGCAUCUUCCAACGAUUUUGUCUACGUAGCUCAAUUUCAUAUGAGGUGCAGUAACUGGACGUUUAUGAACCUACGAUUCCAGCGGUUAUAAUUGAAAUGUCUAGAAUUUCACAAAAAUAUUUUUUUAAAAAAAUUUAACCAUGUCUUAAUACUUUUUUGUUACAGAUACUUCACAAUUUCUCUUUUUUUAUUUACAGCUGUUAAUCUAAUAUCUAUUUUUAUUUGACUCUGAAUAAUACAAAAUUGCACAGUGUCAAAUGUUUUACCAAUUCUUAAUGAAUUUAUAUUUUUCAGUAACUGGUACUCGCUCUGUAGUAGCAAAUAUUGCACAGUGUCAAAUGAGUUACUACUUUUCAAUAACUGGUACUUGCUAUACAUUACUAAGUUAAAUGUUUUCAGGAACUAGUACCUGCUAUGGUACCUUAUAUUGCACAGUGUUAAACGUUUUAGCAAUUGUUAAUGACUUUCUACUUUUCAGUAACUGGUACUCGCACUAUAUUACUAACUUAAAUAUUUUCAGGAACCAGUACCUGAUCUAUGAUACCUUAUAUUGCACUGUGUCACAUGUUUUAUCAUUUCUUAAUGACUUUCUACUUUUCAGUAACUGGUACGCGCUCUAGAGUUCUAAAUAUUACAUAGUGUUGAAUGUUUUACCAAUUUUUAAUGACUUUCAUGUUUCAGUAAGUGGUAUUAGAUUUAGAGUACCAAAUAUUGCACAGUGUCAAAAGUUAUAUAAUUUUUAAUGACUUUAUAUUGUUCAAUAACUGGUACUCGCUCUAUAGUACCAAAUAUUGUGAAGUACUAAAUGUUUCAACAAUUCUUAAUGACUUUCAUAUUGUUCAGCAACUGGUACUCGCCCUACAGUACCAAAUAUUGCACAGUAUCAAAUAUUGUAGAAAUACUUACCAACUUUAUAUUUUUCAGUAACUUGUAUUUGCUUUAUAGUACCAAAUAUUGCACAGUGUCGCUAAAUUUUUGGUAAAAAAAUUUGGGGAUAUCAAUUCCCACUUAAUUUUAUAACAAUAUGUUUGUGAAAUGUUACAGGUUCCUUAUAUUUAGCCAAAUUAGGAAACCAGACGAAAAGUGUUCUGGGUAAUACCGCGUCGAACGUUUUCAGUGAGGAAUUUAAAAAAGAAGAAAAUGACCUUGCCGAGAAUGACUUCAUUAAAAAUAUUUGCUCUAAAAUACAGGGCGAAAAACCGGCAGGAUGUCUUGGAAGUGGCGGUGCCGAAACGUUUUUUAUUCUUAACGUAGGACUUUUAUUACUCAUAACAACAUUUACAAGUUACCUUUAUUAGGCUUUGUUAGGUAAGAACAAGUCUUUGUUGUUUUAUUAUAUAGUCGUUUAUACAGGGUGUUUGUUGGAUAGGCCUCACGCCCGAAAAAUAUUUGAGGUUAUUAUACAUUAUUAUAUAUUGACCACAACUGAUUAUUUAUAUUGAAUAUAUAAGGGAUCUAUUAAUAAUAAUAAUGAAUUUUUAUUUAACAUUUCAAACAAUUUUGGUAAGAUAACCUCAAAAAUUUUAUAGACCAAAUUCGAGAGCCUCCAAAAAUAUACAUUCUGUUGAUUAUGUGAUUAUAAUAUUGUACAUAUUUACUGUAAUUAAAAGAUCUCUUGAUGUUUCAUUGGCAUUUUAAGCAUUUAAGAAAAUAAUUUUAAAAGGAAUGUUUUGAAGUGAAAAAUAUAUACUCUUAGACCAAGAAGUUGUAGAACUUGAAAAGAUCAUUUAUUUAUUUUCAUUAAAACUUCAGUAAACACAAAAAAUAUUCAAUUUCUAGUUAUGUAUACAGUUUUUUUGAUUAAUAACAAAUACAAAAGCAUGUCUGUUGAUUUCACUUGCACUUUUAAUAUAUUAAAUGUGCAAAAAAACAUUAAUUUUAUAGCAAUGCCUUAAUAAAAUCUUCAUUUACUUUUUUUGCUUAAAAAAAUUAAUACUUUUCCUAGCCUCGCAAAAAUUUAGCAUUUUUUUGUAUUGUGGUAUUUUUGUUUAUUUGUAACAACUAACUAGCAAGUUUUUUUAUCAUCUUUAAGUGGGUUUAUACUGGCAAAAAUCAAAAUAAAACCAGAAAAUGAUCAUAUGGGUAUAUUUGUAUGCUUAUACCGCUCAAGCAAAAACAUUUGAAUUGGAUUCUCAUUGUAUCCAGGCCCCAAACCUACAUACAUUUGUCUGUUUGAUUUCAAUGUGUUCCCCAACGGUUGUCUCUUCCCUGAAGGGGGCACAUUUAAAACAAUUUAAUAAUCUAAUAUUGUGAAAUUGGCAACCAUUUUAAAUAAUCUUUAUAUACGAAGAACAACUGUUAUUUUGACGCCAUACAGUAAUUUAUACCUGCAAAUUGAAAUGAAAUCAGAUUUGACCUUAUGGGUAACAAUUAUGGUAUUUUUGUUUACUUUUAGUAACCAACUACUCAAUUUUUUGUCAUCUUAAAGUGGGUUUAAAAUGACAAAUUCAAAUAACAACAGAAAAUACCAUAUGGGUGGAGAUAUAUAUUUACGUUGCUCAAAUAAAAACAUUUGAAUUUGAUUAAGCCUGGAGUUUGUACCCAAGUCCUAUGAAAAAGAAUGUAUGGGUUGUUAAGAUUUUGGAAACCUACUUCAUGUGCUAAGGGAAUAUACUCAGCUUGACUUCGAUGUAUUCUCCAGAGAAUAUCUUCUCAAACAUUCCUGAGGGGAGCACUUUAAAAACAUGAUGAACUAUAUACAGAGGACAACUACUACUUUUCAUAUCUUCAUGUCCUCUACAUCAAUUAUGCAUUAAACCAGUAAAAAAACCAGGAAACAGGUUUUUUGGGAAAAGAAUUACUUAAAACUUACGGGUAUACGAUGUGGGUUUUUCAUGAAGUCUUCCUCUUUCCAUUUCCUUCUGUCUUUGUUGAUUUCGUCCACCCAAGUCUCCCCCUCUUCUGGCUUCUAGUAUUCUUCUUGUAAUCCUUUCCUCAGUUAUUUUUUUCACAUACUACCUUAGUCAAUUCUCUUUUAUAUAUUGUUCUACAAGUUUUGCAUUUAAUAUUUGCUUGUAUGUUUCGUUUUUUAUGUGGUCAAGUCGAGUACAGAGUAAUCUCAGUUUCUUUAUAUCUUUUUCCUGUGUCUUUUGGUCGUUGUCCAAUUUACUGAACCGUAUGUUUCCAUCUCUUGCUAUCAUGUGUCUUUUAUCAUUGUCUUUGUUUUAUCUGUGGUUAUGUCCAUGCUGUAUUUUUUUUUUGUUUGUUUGUACAAUUUUUUCGUUCUUUGCAAAGGAAACAGUGAAACCACUAUGUACAGGUUUUUUUGAAACAAGAUAAUUAUUUAACAACCCAAAACAACAUUGAACAUAUGUGCAAAAAAUUUAUUGAUGUAUGAACAUCAAAUUUUUUUAUUUUCACAUUUAAUUAUCAGUUUAAAUUAACUUUUACGCAAUAUUUGAAAGUUACAGAAUAUUUUUCUUGCUCUAGUACUUUAAUUCAUAAACGUACUUCAACUGUACUUCUUGGUCUACGGUAAAUUUGUAUUUUAACCAAUUAUUGGCUAGUACUACAACUACUAGUAUGCUCAUUAUAUAUAGCUAACUCGUGUUUCAUUGUCAACGGCAUAUAGUGACUAAUUGGUGAUUUAGAUAAAGUUAAUACAGGGUCGUUUCGCAAUAAGGAAAAUCAAACAUUAAAAUGCUUCUUUGAAGACAAUAAGUUGAUUUUAAAUUAUUUUGGGUAAAGUCUCUUAUAUAUAUAUUCACACAUAUAAAUUGAAUAUUUUUAAUAAUAUACAGGGUAUAAAUUAUAUUCAAAAUCGUUCAGUUAUUUUUUUCCAAUAAUUUUGUACGUAUACAAAGAAGUUUUGACUUGUGUAUCUAUUAGGCCAUUUCAAUAAUAAGUCAAGUUAAUAUCAAAAUCAUCUGUUUUCGAUCUAACUUAUUGUUUUGAAAAAACUUGUUCGGGUAUAAUUAGAAUUAAUUUGCGAAAAUGGUCUUUAUUGUAUAGUAAAAUUAUCUCAAAGAUAAACAUAGUUUUCAUGAUCUGCCUGUAGUUCUCAAUUACAUAAAUAAAUAAAAAAUAAAUGUACUUACACGUGUAAGAGCACAUACUUAACUGAAACCAAAAUAUUCAUUUGUUUUUUCCAAUCAUUUGAUAUCAGGUAUGUAUACGGUGUCUCGAUAAAUUAUUCUGUCCAUUUUCUUCAUUUGACAUCUGGUUAGGAAUUCUGUUUUAAUUUAAAUGAGAUGGGCAAGUUAAACAGAAGUAUAUGUGUUUGUCGUCCAUCGGCCAUAAUUGUUUUCAAGUAAUAGCUACUUGAAUAGACCUACGGUUAUAAAGAUACAAGUGAGGUUAAGAUCUCUUCUACUCUCUUUUUAUGUGUUUCUACAAUAACUAUUUUCAUAUAUUUCCUCUAUUGCCUUCGAUAACGAACCUUAAAAUGAUUUUAUUUUUUAAACAGUUUUCUUCGUGUAGAAUAGUGCCAAAAUAAAUAUAUAUAUAUAUAUAUAUCUGAAUCACCGAUUUUCCUGUAUCCCGUUUCUAUAUUCAAUUCUCCAAUGUGUUGAAACUAUAAACAUAAUAUUUUAGUGAUAAAAAAACAUGUUGAAAAUGUUUCUUGCUAUGUACAUGCCAAAAAAAAUUUGGGUUAGAUGAUUUAAUUUAUUUAAAGUACAGGGUAAAUAAUUUGAUUUGUAUAGUGUAGUUUAAUAAUUUUGGAAUCGAAGUUUGAAGUAUACACAAGUUUUAGAUUUUUAAAAUUUUAACCAUUUUUGACAUAUAUAAAAAAGUUCGAAAUAAGAUCACGAAACAUCUGUUGUAUGGACGAUUUAAGUGGAAAUGAGUCAUUUACGAACGAGAAACGCUCGGGACGUCGUCUGACUUCAAAAUAGGUGAAAAGAAAAGCGAAAAAACUUGUUGGUUCAAACUAUUUUGAAGCUUAGGGAGGAAUUCAACAUCUUGUAUGGUUAAGAAAGAGCAAAUUAUUUUAUUCUACAUUAUUCCUGACGUUAAGAAGACAGCGAUAGAGUAGAAACUCUCUCAGUCAUUAAUUAAUCAUUAGGAAGUGCAAAGACAGUACUUGGAAAUAGAUUCAUCAAGAACUUAACUUCUGGUAUGGUUAAGAAAGAAACCUGAAGAAUGUGCAAACAAAUUUCUUCUUUAUAAUUCUUCAUACGCGUGUUUUUGGUAUCUAAAACUCUCUACAACCGCUUUAUUCACCAGGUUUAAGACUACGCGAUUUCUAGCUCUUCCUUAGAAAAAAAACUUGUCCAUAAGAAUCGUUAUGACGUUUUUCCUGACAUUGAGGUGGUAACGAUAGAGCAGAAACGCUCUCAGUCAUUAAUUAAUCAUUGGGAAGUGGAAAGACAGUACUUUGAAGUAGAUUGAUAUAUUCUGGAAUGUGAUGAACUGCAAUUAAAUAUCAAGAAAAACGUGACUGUAAGAACUGUUAGUUGUGUAAUUAACAGUUCAGUGUUAUAGAUCACGCUCUAGAAAUUCCUAAAGUGUGUAGAUUUGCGAAAACUAAUUAAUUGUCAUUAUUGUAAUGAAAUUAUUAAAAAUUUAUCUAUUCACACCUAAUCUCCCGAAUUUUACUUCCAUAUUAUAAAUUUUGGUUAAUUUCCGUUAAAUUUCAAACCUCGAUUCAGAUUUAUCGCCGAAAAAUUAUUUUUUUAAAUUCUAAUGGGUUCUGUACUAAAUAUACAUGGAGAGUCACUAAGACACUACAAUGUUUGCGGACAAAAAAUUAAGGUUUUAUUUUGCUCUCCCUGUAUACAAUAUGCUGUCAUUUGACCCAUUGAUAUGUAUAUAUUUCCAAAGUUGUAAGUGUUGAAAAGUGUGGCAGGUAAUCGUUAUAAUUUUUUUAUUUACGUAAAAUUUUAGAACAUGGCGUCCAAUGUAUUUAUAUUCUUGUAGGGUUUCUAUAUUUUGUUAAAUUUAUUUUUAAAACCACGAAAAAUGGUAUCCAGUUCUCUUAUAUUUAUGGAAAAACUUAAUUUGCAUAAAACAUUUUAAACUAUAAUAAUCUUUUACUAUUAGCCGCAUCCCCACACAUUCCAGUCCAAUCAAAAAGUCGUACCGAUUGUAGGGAGAGCCCGCCAAAUUUAAGCAGAAUGUGAUGGUUGUUCCAAAUCAACUGUCAAGUGUAAAUUUUUCUGCUUUCCGAUAUAUUUAUACAGUGACCGGCAUAAGAUAUGAAAAUAUUUUGGGUGGUUGCUACCCCUUUUUGAGUGAUAUAAUAUCGGCGACUACGCUAGAUUUCUACCUGACCAGUGGUUCGCUGUUGGAAGUGAGGAUGGCGCCAGCAAGCGUUUGUUGGGGAAUGUUUAACUACAUGAACCAAACAGCGACGCUCUUUGACGUUGUCUUCAGUUUUGGUGUCAAGCCCGAACGAGGGUUGUUUAACCACUCUGAUGAGACGUAAUAACGUCGAAACUAGUUAGUGGUUACAAACCCCUCCUUGCAACUGAGAGCCAUUAGGAACGUUAAUAUCGACAAAGAAAAGAAAAGAUCGAUUGACAUUACGCUCUUCAGAAGAAUAUAAUUCAAUAUUCGUCGAGGCAUUAGCGAGGAAAGUAGUUGUUUUCUCCUUUGAAGAACGGCAGAAUACAUUUUCGAAGUUAUUUCAGAGGUGAAUAUUAGGAUACUUGUGACACCUCAUUUAAAAUAGAAAUAUUUAUAUAAAACAAAAUCACGAAAAACAAUUUUCUGCAAAAAAAAACAAUUUUUCAUGGGGGAAGCAGUCGUGGAAGAAUUUUUUUCAAUUCAGUGAACUUUUUUUAUAUUACACUAAGCUUUGCAUCUAUUUUCAAAGUGGUUAGAAAGUAUAUUCUGCCGUUCUUCAAAGGAGAAAACAACUACUUUCCUCGCUAAUGCCUCGACGAAUAUUGAAUUAUAUCUCUUCUGAAGAGCGUAAUGUCAAUCGAUCUUUUCUUUUCUUUGUCGAUAUUAACGUUCCUAAUGGCUCUCAGUUGCAAGGAGGGGUUUGUAACCACUGACUAGUUUCGACGUUAUUACGUCUCAUUAGAGUGGUUUAACAAUCAAAAAAUUUACGAACACUUGCGUGGAUAAUGACGCGAAUUUAUUAAAUUAUUGUACUUUAAUCGAUUUCAAAUAAUUCAUAUGAAUUCGACGUUUUCAAAAUGCUUCGAAAUUGAGUUCAAAAAUUAAUAUAUAAUAAUAAAAUAUUGGAAUGUACCCUUAUCCAAUUAUAGAUCGUCUACCAUUAGUUGGGUUGCCACCAUCAGCGUUCUCAAUUCUCAUUUUGAGACUUUCUUCAUUCGUUUCAAAACUCAAACUCCAUUUCACUUAAAUAUAAAAACAAAAUACCAUUUUUCUACAAUAUUAUAUUUCUUAUCUAUUGUUAAUAUACUUGAUACAUUUCUUCAGAAAAAAUUUGUGAUAUUUUCCUUGUAAAAAAGUGAUCAAGCAGUUGUGAAUAAUUAUAGUUAUCAAAAAUGUUUCUUAAAGUCAAGAUACUAUUCUAUGAGUGUUAAAACAUGUAAAUGAUGUUAUAAAAAAAUAUCUGACACUUUUUUCUAUCACAUCUAUCGAAUAUUGUGAGAAAUCAUCUUACAACCAUCUCUAAAAAUCUCUUAUUUAAUGAAUAGUCUAAGAAGAAUACAGUGACUACCACUAAAACACUCUCUAAUACAUGGUAUCGAAACUCUAUCUAUUUUCAUUUCGUCACUUACACCAUAUUAGUUGCUUUCCAAUUUAUUAAGCACUUUGGGCAUGAAACUCAUGGAUUCGAGGCUCAAAAGCAUGUAGAUAAGAUUCAAUUGGAACAAACUUCGAUAAGUUCUGAGUCAAGUGUCAAAUUAUUUGUUUGUUGCUGAGUCCGACGUACAAGAUACUUCAUUAACUGAAUAUAAAAUACAAAUAUUAUGGAAGCACUCCUUUGAAAUUAUACUUUUUACUAUAUGAAUUGAAACGAUGUCUUUGCCAUAUAGAUUAAGAACCUUUUCUUAGUGGGAAUGUGGCAAUAGAAACCAGAGAGGAAACCAACAAAACGAAAAAAGAUACAGGUACGCCCACGUGAGAAGAAUGAAAGAGAGUAGACUGCCACGCAUCGCGCUUAAAGGGAAACCGAUAGGGAAAAGGGAACCCAGACGACCACCUACGAGAUGGAUGGGCAGCUGGCAGUCCACCUCCCAGGAACUGAUACAGAGAAACCUGCAAAACUAACAUGAGAUCUUAAAAAUGAAUAAGAAGAAGAAUGUGGUGAAAUUAAACUCCAAAGUGUACUAAAUCUAAUAUAUUCCGAGCUUUUGGAUACUUAUGUAUUCUUGACUAAUCAUUUCCCAGAUCAAAAAUACAUAAGUAGUCGAAAGCUUGGAAUAUAUUAGAGAUAGUACACUUUGGUGUUCAAUUUUCCCACUAAGAAAACGAUGCUCUUUUCACGAUAUUGGGCCCUUUUAUAGUGUUACUAUACAAUAAUAUAAGAAAAUUUUGUUUUACAAACACAAAUAUAGCUCAUGUAGCCCAAACAUUGAUCUGAUGUUUGGGGGGCAAAACGCAACUGUGAUGGGUUUGGAUCAUUGCGCACCCUGCUGCUCGAUUAGGUGCUCAAAUUGUGUAAUUGGAAAGCGACUAUUGUGAGAGCUGUCAGAUUUUAAACGCUCAAUGAAUGGUAUCAAACAGCAUAUAUAUUUACCUAUUUGUUGAAUUAUGUUUACAAGGAAAAAAAAUGCUUGUUUCAAAAAUUGAACCAAUUAAAGCUUUGGCAGAUACGUAAUACAACAAAUUUUGUUUAUUUAGCAAAGGUGGACGUGCAUCUAAAGAAAUCAUAAAAUUAGAUAUUUGAAAAAAAUUACCUUGUUUGAAAUACUGAUUGAGUUUUGGUUUAUGAGCUUAAAAAAACUGAAUGGGUCUAGAAAGAAUUUCACUAAAAAAUUUGUCGCUAAUUAUUUUUCAAAAAUUAAUUUUGUUGCUCCAUCCAAAUUGUUGCAAAUGCUUUUUGGAAUUUGUUGCUGUUAUAAUUGUCUACAGAGACAGCAACAUAAUAGGAACAAGAAACGGGUCCUAUUUUUUUUGAAAAAAACAUUCCAAAAUUUUGCUAGCUCGACAGAUAUUUUUGCUCAUGGUUUUCUCUAUAAGAAUUGUGUAUUUGAUAUUACUAAAUUACCAAAUUUUAAUGUAAAAUUGGUAUUUAUAUCAUUCAUAACAAUAAAAUUAAAUCAAUUAAAUCAACAAGUAUUUCAACAACAUUAGUUCGAUGUCACUGACUUAUCAACAACUUUACGUCUUUUAGUUCUGUUACAGUUAAUUUUAUUAAAAAACUGUGGUUUAAUCAGAAGGGAAAUAAUAAGAAUUUUGUGUUUUGAAAA